rnacentral:lncRNA from 1 species
GUCUACUGUAGAUUGAAAUGUGUAAUGUCAAUGAUGUUCGCUUCUCUGUUUCAAAAUAACAAGCUUUUUAAAAGACCUUUAUAAAUUGAUAGUAUAUAAAUAUAAAGGAACUUAAAAAGCAGAAAAAAAUAGUGUCCGUUUGCUUGCUUUCGAGAUAUAAGCCAUUGAAAAUUUGGCGGGAAAUAAUGUUCUCUAGACUUUUCAUAUAUUUAACAUUGGCACCCUUUUCUUUUAAAAAUU